GACGAACGCUGGCGGCGUGCUUAACACAUGCAAGUCGAACGGUGAACCUGCUUCGGUGGGGGAUCAGUGGCGAACGGGUGAGUAACACGUGGGCAACCUGCCUCCGGCUCUGGGAUAACUCCAAGAAAUUGGGGCUAAUACCGGAUAUGACCGCUGGCCGCAUGGUCUGGUGGUGGAAAGAUUUAUCGGCUGGAGAUGGGCCCGCGGCCUAUCAGCUUGUUGGUGGGGAUGGCCUACCAAGGCGACGACGGGUAGCCGGCCUGAGAGGGUGACCGGCCACACUGGGACUGAGACACGGCCCAGACACCUACGGGUGGCAGCAGCGAGGAAUCUUCGACAAUGGGCGAAAGCCCGAUCGAGCAACGCCGCGUGGA
rnacentral:rRNA from 1 species